GUCAGCAACCCCUGACUUGAAGUCGGGGGCUUCAGGCGACUCCGCCUCAGCCCUAGUUGACCAGACUAUCCGUUUAGGGCAAGAGUUAAAAGACCCACUUCAGGAUGCUUGCUAGUCCUGAACCUUGGA
rnacentral:sRNA from 20 species